AGUGAACGCUGGCGGUAGGCCUAACACAUGCAAGUCGAACGGCAGCACAGUAAGAGCUUGCUCUUACGGGUGGCGAGUGGCGGACGGGUGAGGAAUACAUCGGAAUCUACUUUUUCGUGGGGGAUAACGUAGGGAAACUUACGCUAAUACCGCAUACGACCUACGGGUGAAAGCAGGGGAUCUUCGGACCUUGCGCGAUUGAAUGAGCCGAUGUCGGAUUAGCUAGUUGGCGGGGUAAAGGCCCACCAAGGCGACGCUCCGUAGCUGGCCUGAGAGGAUGAUCAGCCACACUGGAACUGAGACACGGUCCAGACUCCUACGGGAGGCAGCAGUGGGGAAUAUUGGACAAUGGGCGCAAGCCUGAUCCAGCCAUACCGCGUGGGUGAAGAAGGCCUUCGGGUUGUAAAGCCCUUUUGUUGGGAAAGAAAAGCAGCAGGUUAAUACCCCGCUGUUCUGACGGUACCCAAAGAAUAAGCACCGGCUAACUUCGUG
rnacentral:rRNA from 1 species